GUAAGAAACUAUUUUUGCUCUUUCCCCGAAACGUGCAAUCAGCCCAAUGCGUACAUUUACAAUUUCGUUUUGUAUGAUAUAUGACAGGUUGUUGGAUUGAAUCUAGGCUUUCCCUUUUUUUUUAAAAAAAAAAAAAUGUGAAUCUACUAGAUAGAUGGAUAGUAUUAGUCAUUUAAAUAUGAAUAUUCCGUAUUUGAUAAAAAAAAAAUGAAUAUUCCGUGUUCCUGUGGGGGUGAUUGAUGCAGCUUUGGAUCUCAAGGAGAAGCUCAUUGGUUUGGGAUCCAGGAACUUCUUCCUCUGUUCUAAGCCCGCCCCGGCUGCUUCAGACCCAGCGACGGCCUCCUCCUCCUCCUCGGCCGUACCUUCUUCUUCUUCUUCUUGUGCCAAAGAAGCUAAGAAGGCGUGCAAGAUAUCCAUCACUUGGCUUAGGUUCAUGGAUUUCUUGCUGUAGCUUGAUUGAUAUUUCUCUUUUUACCUUCAAUUACUAUUUCUGCUAUUGUGGGACGGAAUCUCUUCUCAGACAGAUGAUUCUGUGGCUACAAGUUGCAACCCUUCUGUUUGUUUGGGGUGGGGUGAAUCUGCAGCACUAGUUGUUGGCUGGUGUUGUUGUAAGAUCGAGAGGGAUUACAGUGUCUUGGACGUGUACAUAUAAAUGAAACCAAGUUUAUAUUUCCGUGCAUGCAUUUAAAUACAGCUCCUCUGCAAUUCCCCUUUGCGGACCGGUCUUGAUGUGUGAGUCUUACGGAACUUACAGGUGUAAAUUUAUAAAUCUGCCUAGUUAUUAGCUUCUUAAGAAUCGGGAGUGCGUCCGACCCAACUGGCUGAUGUUACGUUUGUCAUUCAUUCAAUUUAACUAUUGGCAUAAUUAUUGAACAUAGGCGGCCUAGCACUGGAUAUUUUUGUGUCGUCGCUGUUGUUGAAUUUAUUUUCUCAUGUGGCCUGUAGCAAAUUAGUGGACAAGAAAGCUGUCAUACUAACGUUGGUUGAUGUUAAGUGGUGUGCGCAGGCUCUGUCUUGUUCGUAUGACUAAUUACACCAGAGAAUCAUUUUGUCACGCUUAUCAGAGUAAAAGAAUAAAAAUAAAAAUAACGAUGCUAUUGUAUAGCUAUGCUAAUUAACGUUUCAUGGGAUUUAGAUCCACCUAUAUUGAUCUGUUAAUUAAAUUGGAAGUCCCUUUCCACCUCCUCCCAUUUUUUGGGUGUAUAUGGCGGGGGCGCUAUAGUUAUAAUUGUUAUAUAUAAAUCUUUUUUUUUUUUUGAUAGAAGGCGGAAGGCCUAUUACUUUAUAAACAAAUAGUUUAGGGACUUUUCUCAAAGAGGGACAAAUAUCCAAAAAAAAAAAAAAAAACUGAGGCAGAUAUUAUGAACAAUAAAAUACAACCCCAAAACCAAUACAUAAACAUCUCAAAAAAAUUCAACUGAGUCAUAAGAUAAUCCAACAGAUGUAAGGAUUGAAAACCAGUGCAAUUAUAUCUUCAUGAUGUUUGAUGUUCCAAAAAAGAGAGAAUCCCAACAAAUAUGGAGACAUCAAUUGCAUGUAGAGCAGGCAUGAGGGAGAAUGAUGGUAAUAGUAAUUUUCAGCAGCAACAUUUGAUGCAGUAGAAUAGCAAUCUUUCAAAAAUAAAGAAAUAAAAAUCCUGAAUAAUAAGCUACAAUUUGCAGCACCUUGAAAGAUUGAGACUUGAUGUGCUCUGUAUAGCUGAGUAAGACAUGACGAUAGCUUUUUAAUGUUGGAACAAAUAGAUAUGUCAUAAGAGAAACAUACAAAUAAGUCAAACAGCUAUCCUUUGCCCUGGCCACCGACAAGAAAAGAGAAUAUGCAACAUAUGACAUGGUAAACUUGGAUGCUAUUUCUGAACAAGUAACAUUAGCUAACCAAUAAAUACUACUAUGGGAACUCAAAUAACCCAAUCGAUAGUGACAAAAAGAUAUCUGAGACAUGUGACUAAGAUCCAUCUGACCUUGGAGCAGUACAUGAAUAAUUAACUUUAUACACCAAAAGAGAGAGCAAGAUGUGAAUAGAUAAUUAGAGUGCUGAAAUGAUACAUCCACAGUACUGAAGAUAUGAAUAGGUAAUAAUAAAACCUACAAGCAAACACAAAAAAAGUUAAUAAUAAACUUUCUUUUUUCUUUUUUCUUUCUUUCUUUUUUUUUUUCCUUUUUUUGUUCUUCUUUUUCCCUUUUUCUUUUUCUUUUUUUUGUUUUUCCUUAUUUUUUCCACACAUCUCCCAUCCUCCUUUUGUAUGUCUAUGCAGAGAAUAAUAGCACAUUGAAAAUGGCAUUAAUCCUAUAUGAUUCCAUGAUGAGUAAACCGUAGCAUCUUGUAGGGUAGAGUCAUUGUAAAUAAUAUAACAAUAAUCAACAUGGUGUUUGAAAAGAUAUCGACUUCUGCCAACCAAAGCUUCCAAUCCAGCACAUAAGAAGAAGAUAUAAUGGACGAUAUUCAGUGAAACUAUAGUAACUGAGAUAAAGAUAUCUGAAAAUUACUAUAGACAUAUGCAAAAAGCCCCAAAAAAAGGUGUCUGACAGUUACUAAGAUCAAAACAAACAUCCUGCCAACAGCCCAAAGAAUUGAAGAGUAUAAUAUCAUUGCUGAGAUAGCAAUCUCUAAGAAAAUUUCAAUUUGUUUAUGACCACCGUUAAGAAAUGACAAGAUUUUUGGUAUAUGUAGUAGAGAAGAAAUCAGAAAUGGAUAAGCCCGUAUCCUGCACCCAAGAACAAACAGGGUUAGAAGUAAACCUUUGUUUUUUUUGUUUUUUGUUUUUGUAUUUUUUUUUUCCUUCUUUCUUUUUCUUUAUCUUUUUUCUUUUGUCCUCCACAUAUACCAAAAAACUAUAAAAUGCUCGUACCGUACAAUAAAGUGUAUCAGCAAAUAUAUUCUUUGCAGAUAGUCAUAUGAAGAUCAGCCUAUAAUUUUGGUACAAUGCCACAUUCGACCUACAGAUUUUCGAAGGUAACAUGUAUCAUGAACCCCACACUCCAUAGAAAGAAAGCCAUGUUGGGUCACAACCACCAUAUGGAGACCUAGAAAAUCAUCAUCAUAGGACUGAUGCAUGACCACAAUCCUAUAGUCUUCCUCCUCAAAUCGAGAAUAGCACCCAGCAAUUGGAAUAUAGGAGUGGUAUUAGCAGGUCACAAAUAUUUAUAAAAAAACCAUAUAUUUCACUCUGUACAACAGAUAUCAAGUGACCGUCAGCAGAACCUAUCAGAUAUGGUGGGUGAACAAGCACAGUCUUCCUUUUAUUUUCAAUACAUAGAUCCUGCUUGCUUUCCCAAUCAUACCCUCCAGAUUUAUACUUUCUCCCUCUCUGACGUUUAUCAUCUUCCACCGAAUAUUUUUUUCUUUUUUCUUUCCUAACUUUAUCUUCCCCCCUUGACCACCUUGGAAUACAGACUUCCUCAUACCGCCCAUUCUCAUUUUUCUUUGAGUCCACUUUAAUUUCCCUUUAUUCAGCCACCUAUUCUCCACACCUUGUCUGUUUUGAUAGUGAUGUGUGGGGUAACCAAAAAAGGUGUUCCAUUUUUGUGACAUAGCACAAUAAUCCCAUCGACAUCUAUAACAGCAAAAGUUAAGAAUAUUACCGAUGAUCUCUCUUACGCCACAAUGUGAUGUAGAAUCACAUGCCAUGAUUAUAUUAGGAAUCUGCAUGUACAAGAGUAGAGAAAGAAUUAGAAUUUGAAUACUAAAACCAUUUUGUUUGUUAAUCCCUGUCCUUGCAUCAUUAUGUCCUUCCGGUAAUAUGCAGUGUGGUGUCUUUUUUGUAUUUCUCCACCAUAAAGUAUAUCUCUUUUGAUCCUGUAUGCACAUCAUCACAUGUUGCAUUAGACAAAGGUUAGGGCUACCCAAAAAGUUAAUUUGAAUACACAUGAACAAAAAAGAAAAGCAGUCUAAAUGCAAGCAAUGCAACAGAAUAAUCCACAAUGAGAUACUAUGAUCAGAACUCUGACCGAGAGUCCAUCUCCAAGGAUAGCAACAGAUAUGUAUUUUCAAAUCUCUAAACUUCUCUUGCAUACUGAAUACCGUACGCAUCUGCUUGAAUCAGACCUUGGUACAUAAAAUCCUUAACGGACUCUGAGGAUCCAAGAAAAUCCCCAUACAGAGCUUUAUUUGCCAAAAAAUCAGCAACUUGAUUGGCUUCUCUAAAAGCAUGCGAGAUUUUAUAAAAUAACCCCAAAGUUUUCUAGAGGUAUAAAUCCUUUAUCUGAGGAAUAUGAUCAAUCUUCCCACAGAUGCGACUAUUUUGCCAAGAUACCAUUGUAGCCGAGUCCCCCUCCAGCCAAAUUUUAGAUGCUUGUAAUUUCGAUAUUGCAAUCUUAAUCCCAUACCAUGCCAAAUGAAGCUCUGCCAUGGGAACUGAGCAAAAAGAAAAAAAAGCUUACCUCCAACACAUAAAAUGGCAGUGUGAUGAUCUCGAAUUACAAUUCCGACAGCCGUAUUGUCUGCAGUAACCGAUGCAUCAAAGUUAAUUUUGACAACUCCUUCGGGAAAAGAUAGCCAAAAGAUAAAUUGAGAAAAGAAGAAGGAAGCUUCCUUCUGCAUUUGGCUAUCUCAAUACCGACACGGAGGCUAUGAGCUAUUUGAGACAACACUUUCAUUUGUUUUUAAAAAAAUCCAAAGCUUACGUAAAAGCUGCGAUAUAGUAAUAUAAGAAUGGUUGAAAAUGUAUUCAUUUCGGGCCUACUACAGCAACCAAGCUACAUAAGCCAUGAGUGAUUUCUGUUUAUUUCCUAUCCAUACAUUGGAAAGCUGUUCGCUCCAUAUCGAUAAAGAAUUAAAAAAAAAUUCACCCGAUAAAUGCAACUUAUCUAUUGCCAAAAAUUUCAUGCAAAGCCACAAUGGAUAAUCACAUACACACAAUCCUCAACUUGAUCCAGGCAUAAAUCACAAAACUAGUUGUUCGCAUCAAUAAUAUUGCAGUGAGCCAACAGAGCUUUGCAUUAAAGUCUAUCUCACACAAGCUUCUAAAAAAAUGUUUUAAGUUUUGGAGGCACCUUCAAAGUCUAGAUCCACCCAGAAUCCACCUACACUAGUUAACAAUAAUUAGAAGCAAUAAGAUCUUUUAUGUCUUGUAAUGAUACUUUCAAGCUCUUGGAUGAUGCCCAAACAAGUUUAUCCGGUCAUAUACCUUGCACCAAAGGAAUUUCACUAAUUAGAUGGAUUAGCUCAUUUGAAAAAAAAUAAAGAGAGAUGGUGCAAAUCCCAACAUCUAUCAGCCGUAAUAAAAUAUGAUAUCUGUAAGUUGAGAUCUGCAUUGUCUAUAUUUAUAAAUGUUGGCCAAAACAUAAUGAGAAUAUUUGUAAUCCAAAGCUCUUUGUAAACAUUAAUGGAAUUACUUGAUUCAACCAACCAUUGAAUCAGAAAUUUAAUGUGCGAUGCAGCAUUCGAGAUUUUUCUCUAAAUAAUGGAAGAACCUCUGUAACAUUUGUAGUCAACCCAAGUUCCAUGAAAAUGAUAUUUUGCCAUAACAAAUUGGGUCCACAGAGAAGAAGGUUGCAAGAUCACUUGAGCAACUAACUUAUAUAAACACACCAACUGACAGUGAGUUAAUGAUUGGAAUCCAAUACCUCUUUUUGCUUUUGGCAAAUAGACUUUCUCUCGAGCAAUAGGAUGGAAAGCCCUCCUAUUCCUGGUAUGUCCCCAAAAACAAGUUCUAAUCUUCUUCUCUAUCUGUCGAAAAAUUUAUAUAGAAAUAUGUGUUGAGGAGAGAGCAUAAAGCCGGAUAGCAUACAAAACUGAUUGUAUCAGCCACAUCCUUCCCGCAAGAGAUAACACACGCCAAUUCCAUGCAGCCAUCUUAUUAGAGAUUUUUGUAAGAAAAAAUUGAUAAUCAGCAAUAGAUGUCUUACCCGACAAUGAAACUCCUAAAUAUUGCCAAUUCAUUUUUUUUUCUGUAAUAUGUAGCAACUCUCUUAUCUGAUAUCUGACCUCACGAUCCGUAUCUAAUAAAAAAAUAACAUAAGAUUUAGUACUAUUAAUAAAUUGAUCCGAAUUAGUAUAAGCAUUUAAUACAGCUAACAGGACAAUCGUAUCUCUUAAAGAAGCACGGGCCACUAAUACAUAAUUAUUUGCAUAAAAAAUAUAAGAUAUUUUAAGACCCUCAGAAACUUUGAGCCCAUGAAGCAAAUGCAUUUGGAUCGCUGUAUAAAAAAAAUUUGUUAAGAUUUGAGAGCAAAUAAUAAAAAAAUUCGAUGAUUGCGAAUAUCUUUAUCUAAGACCUCUAGUAGUUUAAAAAAGAAUAGUCUCAAAUUUAUUAAUAAAUAAAAUAAAUUAAGAAUUACAAAUAUAGAUUCUAAUUCAAAAAAUAAACUGUUCAAAGGGGUCGAACUAAUUUAAGAUUAAAAAAAAAAUCAACGGAUCUUAUCAUAAUUUUUUUUUAUAUCUAAUUUAAUCAUCAUAAAUUUAUUUGAUAGAAUAAUUUGAGUGAGAAAAUAUAUAAUUUUUUAUUUAAAUAUAUAUAUAUAUAUAUAUAUUUUGUAAUAUCCCGGUUUGGAACUAAGACUCCCUAAUUUUUUGAAAUGAUGUCAGGUAAAAUCAAUGUCAGGUAAAAUUUAUAUUAAUAUCAUAAAGAUGGUGGUGAUGCGAGAUCUAAUGUUAUUUUUGUUUCAUGGAAUGGUGCACAAAUUUAUGCCGCGGAUAAUUUUAAUCGAGCACUCAUGAGAUGCUGCGCGAUGUGACAAAUGCUACUGCAGUAAUUAAUGAAAAUUAUUAUAACGAAAUAAUACUUAAUAUAAAUUUAUUCUCGUUGCUUCUUCUACUAAAAAUUUAGUGCAAUGGCCAUAACAAUCCAUAGUUGUUUCAGCAUUAUGAUGUAAACAAUUAAUGAAAUAGCUCUUUUCAACCAGACAUGUAACCAGUCAUGAUGAUGCUUAUCAUAAUUAUAUUUGAUGUGGAUUCCGAAUGCAAGAUCAAGGGAAUCAUGAAGAUUAAAAAGAUGACCGGUAUGAGUCAGCUAUUUGGGUCUUGUAUAUUCAUAAAUUCGAGCAUGAAUACUUUUGAUUCAUUGAAAGAUGUUUGAUUCACAAUCAGAAUUAAAAUCAAAAUAAAAAUUAAAAUAUAUUAAAAUUAAAAUCGAAAUGAUCAAAUUCUUCAAAAUAUUUGAUCCAUGAUCGAAAUCUGAAUCAGAAUAGAUGAUUCUCAUUGUUGUUGUUUGGUUCAUAUUAAGAUAGGAAUCGGAAUCAACUGAAAUUUUUAUUUUUAUUCUUAACUAAAAUUUUUAAAAAUUAAUUAUUUUAAAAAUUAAUAUUAAAUAAAAAUUAAAUAUAAUAAUAAUAUUUUAAUUUUUUAAAAAAUUAUUAUUAAAAAAUAUAGAUAGCAAAUAUUAUUUUAUCAUAAAAAUAUUAUUUUAUAAAAAAAUAUAAUGAUUAUAUAUAUUACAAUAAUAAUUGAUUUAUUUUGUAUUAUAUUUAAUAUAUCAAAAUUAUAUAAUAUUAACUUUAAAUGAUUAGAAAGCAGUGCAGGAUGCAUGCUAGGCCGAAUGUCUCAACUAAUUAGGGUUAGCCAAUUUAGGAUUUUAGGAUUGUAGUCGUUUUUCAAUAAUCGUAGCAUGCUAUCAUUUCUAAACCCUUUGCUCCUAAUUCUUGAUCUCAGAAGAGAGAUUGUAAAAUAUGGAGACCGUUGCCGCACCUGUCCCUUCUCCGCCCCAUCCUCCGUCGUUUUCUACCUUCUUCCCCUUCUCCACCGCCGCAUCCUCCCCUCUUUAUCGCAGCUGCCCAAUCCUUCUCCUCCCAAUUCACUGGCGCCGCCUUUGAGGCCUCUGAUGACCCCUUCGACCUUGCCCGUUCCAUCUCCACUGAACUCGUCAAGCUCUCCACCGCCGCCGAUCCCUCCUUUUCCUCCUCUUCCUCCUCCCACCUCAACCUCCACCACCGCAGAUGAGCAAGGCCGUGUGGUGGCUCGUCAUCGAGCUCCAGCAUGGUGCCGGGGCCACUGCUGGCGCCGCUCCCCAUCCCCACAUCUCCAUCGGGCUUUUUUCAAGACUCCAUCGUGGCCAGUCCUGGAUCUAUGAACUACGGGAAGAGGGCUGGGAUCGUCGUCGGCGACGGUGGUCGGAGUCCUAGGGAAGGGGGAGGGGGUCUUCUUGCAGGAAGGCUUCUUGAGGUGGUCACGGUUCUUGACGACGAGGUCGGCGAAGGAGGUGGGGAAGCCGAUCUGACGACGAGAGAGGCUCUGUGCUCGGGCCGGAGAUGAUUUUUUUUUUUAUAUCCAUUUCAUUCUAUGGGAAUGAGAUUUUGACUCAGUUGGGAUGAGUCCGAAUUUGAUUACUUAAGAAAUGGAUCAUUCUUGUUCCUUUCUGAAAUAGAAAUCGAAAUGAGAUUUUUUCCAACUAAAUAAUUGAAAUGAGAGUCAUACAUUUUGAUUCUCAUUUUAAAUCUUAAUUAUUCCAUUCAAAUACCCCCUCAAGUUAAUGCAGCCUAUCGGGCCUAUGAUGCAAUAUGCAUCGAUCCAUGUAGAUAAAUUUCAGUUGAGAUGGGUCUCGCAUUCAAUUUAGUUCAGCGGGGCGUAGAUUGGCUGGUCCUUGCAAGUCUAGCAAUCCGCCUCCCGACAACUGUUUGGAAGAGGUUUCCGCCUCCGGAUCCGAUUCAGAUAGAAGGAGGUGGAGAUCACGCAGCAGGAGUGCUGGAAGGCAUACGAAAUGGAGCGCACGCAACGGAAGGCUCAUAUCUUCUAGUUGAGAUGGCGCUCCAAACCGUAGCUUGCUCUCAAAUGACAAAUCCAAUCCCCUUUCUUCGUCGGCCCCUUCCGCUCCUCUCUCUCUCCGCAGCCCCGGUCCAAACCCCCUCCACUCUCGACCCCCACCCUCUUACCACCCCCUCCCAAAAAAAAUAUAUAUGCAUGGAGUUCCAGGGUAAGUGCUCUCCUCUACGCCAUUUUUUUCCCCCGUUCACGGCCCACCCACGCGUCCACGAGCAUGAGCUUGUCGUCGAUCGUAUCAAACGCCGGCGUCCUUUGUUUUAUGUCAUCAUCAUUGUUACUGCAUUUUGUUGAUUAUGCUGCAAUGACCUGUUGCCGUUAUUAUUGUUCCGAUAAUUGUUUAGCGUCGGUGCGUUUUGUUUCCAUGUGGGAUUCUCUCCGUGGUUUGCGCUCGCGGAUCGAUCUCAGUUUUACCUCUGGCGGUGUCCGGCUCAUGCUAUCAUCAAUUCGACGGUGUAUUGAUUUUUAUAUGGAUUUCUUCGGUUUGCUGUUUUGCUCGUUACCAAGCACGAGUGCUUUAUUCUGAAACAUGGUCUUUCUGGGGCCCUGCAAUUGUUUCAGGGGUUUUACUUGUUUGAGGAAAUUCGCCUCAUCUUUCGAGCCUUCUUUAGACGUGCCUAUGAAUCGGGAAGUAUUGUUCCUAAUUCUUUCCAUACGCUUAUCUGCAGCCACGUUAUAUCCUCCGCUCCUCUUUGGCUUUUCCUUGACGAUUCUUCUCUAAUUAAUUUAUCUGCUGCAAUUUUCAGGAGCGGCAGUCGAACCUGGAGAAACCGUCGAGCGCGAUCCUGGGGAUCUCAAAUAAUUGCAUCCGACUUAGGUUGUUGGUGCUGCUGCGGUGAUGCGUUUCUUUUUUUAUGACCUUACAUUGAAGAAUCCUUUAACUCAGGUGCUUCUUGAUUAAAUCUAGGCAUCGCUUGGGGAAUCUAAGAAGGACGAGGGAGCUGAAGAAGUGCCUAUCUUUGUGAAGUUCGAUGAUCAGAAGCCAGUGCUUGGAAAUCUUUCUGCAGAGAAGUGUGCCCAGAUCUCAUACGACCUGGUAUUCGAGAAACAAUUUGAACUGUCUCACGGCUCCAAGAAUGUCGGUGUAUAUUUCUGUGGAUACAAGACCGUUGUGCAUGAUACUUUUGGAUAUCCUUCUAAGUGUCCUUUGUUUCGGAAGUACUAUGCUCGAUCAUUUUAUCUGUUAUAUUUUAAAAUAUCAUUAUCUUGAUUUCGUUGACCUCAUCUUCUUGUUCCAUGGAUCACCUCUGAUUAUGAAUUUUAAGGUAAUCUCCCAAUAGCCGUGCCACCCCGACUUCCUCUGCUUGCAAAAAAUGUAACAACCUACUUACUUGACCCAAUGAAUUUUCCUUUCCAAUAAUAUUUGCAGAUAGUGAAUCUGAUUCUGAAGAUGACCUGUAAAUUGGCCAAAAAACAAAUGGUAUGAUUUUUGGAUAUUAAAUGCGAUUAUUAUCUAUUUAUGUUUUGAAACUCCAUGUGAUAAGAAGUAAUUUUGCAGUGCCUAUAUGAAAUGAUAUGUUUACCUUUUUAGGUGUAAUUUGUGACGAUAUGAUUCUACAGGGCUUGUUGAAUUGCUAGGUCUGCAUUCAUAUCAUUGUUUAUACUUGCAGUGGUCAUGUAUUAACUUGACACUAUUAUCAGUUCAUUAGCAUCUGCUGGUGAACCAUUGUUUCUUUAGAUGGUUAAUGUUGUUGGAGUUGUCAGAACACUUACUUUAAGCAAGCAUAAUUAAUCUGAUAGGACUGAUGCAGAACAUCUGGUUCAUGGACAAACUAGGACUCUUAGGAAGGUCCAUGUGAGAAACCAUUUUUUCCAAUCCAAACAAGAGCUGAGAGCAGAGCUUUUUUGUCAUAUGGAUAGGAUUAGCGGUUCAGUUUUAGUAUUCAUUGGUGAAGGCUCAUUUUGUCAGAUAGUUAUUGCUGUUCUGAUCGUUAAGGAAAAUGCCUUGAGGAAAAUAAGUUUGAUAGGAUCGGUGUAGAAUACUGGUUGAGGAUGCAAAAAAGAUUGGUUUGAAACAUUUUAAGAUAUAACAUCAAAGACUGACAAUGAGAUAAUGAUCAAUUGUUGUCUAGAAUUUCUUACUUUUAUUUGUGGUUCUUUUGCAAUAAUGAUCAAGUGUGUACCCUAAAGUGUUUCAUUAGGCCCGUGCUUGUUAUCAAGUGUUUUCAAAUGCAGUGCAUGCCACUACAUACAUGAAUGUAGUCCCUUGACUGUGCCCUAUUGCCUAUAUGGGGGCAUUUGGUGACCUAGAUGGGAGUACCACAGUGUUCUAAGAUUAUCAGUGAUUCUCAUCUUGGUGUAAUAUGAUCUCCAAUGCUCUAAGAUCAUUGCAUUAGGCAUGCCAUGUUUCGAUGAUUAAAGGUCUCUGGGAAUCCAUGAAUAAUCUGUGUGGUGCCAUGGGAAUCCAAGCCCAUUGAACAUAUCAUACCACAAAUACCCCUGACAUGUGCCAGGAAUUUUUUUUAUCUAUUCUCAAUUCCCAUGAAUUAAGAAUGUAAGCAAAUAUGCUAAUUCUUAUGGUGUCCCUAACGUUUUGUCAUAGACUCUAAACUUUUAGUGGCUCCUUCCUCUUCCCUUGAUUUCCUUCCUCUUCCUUUGAGUUCCUUCUCUUGCAUGGAGAGGAUGGAGUUGCUUCUCUUAUGUGGAGAGCAUAGCUUGAAAACUCUAGCUCACCUUUCCUUCGUUUGCGUGGGGACAUCAUCAUUUGGAAUCUGUCACGAAAGAUGCAUGGCAAUUACGAAGAGCAUUUUGGUCAUCAUAUUUUGGUCCAAAAUUAUUGCGCUAGGAUGAUCGUAGGUACCCAUCCUCAAGGAUCGGUUUACAAUCACCAAGUUGGGUAGUAAUUUGAGGGGUAGGGGUGAUCCAAGAUCACUGCCAUGUAGGAUCACCGGGGUGCAACUAAAUGCCAUUAUCUUGUCACUUCCGCCCAGAUUAUCCUUGAUCCUAGGGCCCCCAUAUUAAACAUCCUAUAUGUGGUUAUUAUGCAAUCAUACUGCAUAUGUGCCGAAGAGGUGGUCCACUAACAUUAUGGCCACAUAUACAGCUCUCUUGGCAUACCAUAACUGCUUAUGUAGCUCGUCUAGCAUUAUAGGCCACAUGUGCUAUCUACUUUUAUGGGAGCCCAUGUGGAUGAAGCAGGUUCGAGUUUAUGGUUAGGUACUUAGGUUUAAUAUGGGUUUCAGAUGUGCCUGAUACAAGUAUUAAUAACUUUAGUGUGUUAAAUAUGUCAUGACUAUUGCCAUUAGGCAUAAAGCAUAUGAGGCAUGAAGUACCAAGUGGCAAGUGCUAAUUAUUAGUUUGCUAUUAUGUUAAUAUUGCUAUUGGUUAUCCAAAAAAUUACCAUCAUAAUUUAUGUCUUUAAUAUUAAAUAUAUUGUAUUAUUUGUAAUAGUUAUAAAAUAGUAACUGCAUUUGUAGCCAGCACACCAUAUAUGCACCUGCAUAUCAUACAUGCACGAUGCAGUCCACUGGCUGCAUACUUCGAUGAUCUUUUGAAACACUGUUGAUGUCAUCUGUUAACAUAAUUUAGCAGCGUGCCUUCCCCCUUUUCCCAUGAAGAGGUCCAUUUUAUGAAAAAAGAUGGUCUUAACUUUUUAAACUUAUUCUUUUGGGCUUAUAGUCCAGUUUGUACACUAGGUACUAGAAAGCAUAGAUAUCGGUAUGCGGUACAGGUAUUUUAUGGUACGAAUACGCUGAUACGGUAAAAAUUGAAAAAAUCAUGAUUCAGGUAUGGCUAGAUAUUUUAUAUUUUUAUUAAUAUUUGAAUAUAUAUAAUAUUUCAAUAUUAAUAAAAAUAUAUGAAAAAAUUGAAUCAUAUAUAUAAUAUUCGAAUUUUAAUAAAAUUAAGUUCUCAAAUCUCAACUAAAGUUAUAAGUAUCAUCAUAAAAAACAAACACAUGCAAUCAACGAAAAAAAAACUAGCAGUCUAAAUAAGUAGAAAAAAUGAAAACAGUAAGUCUUGAUAAUCAAGUGAUAAUAGUUUCAGCUAUUUCAUUCUCUACAUCAUCGGCAAAAAGUUUCUUCUCCACAUCUGGUUCAUCAAGAGGCAAACUUGCAAUCUCAAGAAUACAAAGAUAGGAGUACUGAUGCCGCACCGAAAACAUAUCCGGUGCUGGUACACACCUGAAAUAGGAGUACCAGUGCUUCAUUGACUAGGUAUCAUGUCAUAUCUCGAGUAUCCAUUUAAUCAACCUAUGACUGUAAUACUAUUGUUCUAACUUUUAUUGUUUGAGUUGCCUGUAUUUUGAGGCCUAUUCGAUCAAGUUGUUGUUUUUAUGUUUUUGUUUUUUUAUGAUAGUGAAAUAUCACAGGAAGAUUGGUGGUGAUGAUAAUGUUUGCAUGAAACUUCUUCCAACCCUUGUUUUUAAAUCACUCUUUUUGAAAGUAAUAAAUCUUUGCUACCAAGAGCUCUAAAGAUUUUACAAACAUUUCUUUUUUAAAAAAAGAGAGUUUUAAUUGUACAUGUUGUUCAAUCUUAUUCAUUUUUGUUCUUGGUUUUUUUAAAACAAAAACAGAAAACAGAAGCAAUGCCAAAUGGGUCCUCAAUUUAUCAUGUGCCUGGUUCUAUGAGUGGCCCCUAGCCAAGUGGAAAGUUUGAAAUACAGUUCAAUAUUUCACAUUCAGUUGGGUUCUGGGAGCUUUGUGGUCCAUCUGAUUUACUUGCUGAAUUCGGCAACACCUUCAAUGCUUAUUUUUGGUGUAUCAUUAACUGGACUCCAGUAAUGUUACUCCUCUAGUGACACUUCUCAUGUGAUACUUAUAUUUGUGCAGCCUGGCAGGUAUGUGAUGGGUAAGGCUAUGUCAGCUUCCUACUUGAAGAGAAGCACUAAAUUGGCAGGAUUUGCAUGUGCAGUUGCAUGCCUGGAGCCCAAGAAACAUUUCCUUUUCUUGUUAAGCUAUUUGCUCCUCUUGAUAUCUUAAUGACCUCACUGAAAAUGAAAUAGACUUUCCAUUCAGAACUUCCUUUUCAUAACGUUCUUGUAGUUGCAAUAAAUAAGUUUUAUAUUGAUGUCCAUGCUUUAUUAGCAACCUUAUUUGUCUAAAUGAUUGCACUAAUCUCCACUUCUUUUGCUUCAUAUUAGAUUUUGGCUUCUGCAUUUUUACCUACUUGCUUCUCAGUCCUUUGGUUUAUAGUUUUCACAUGCAUUACAGUUGUUACAAUCAGGCAAGCUCAUUGUGAAGGAUGAGAAGGGCAAGCCUGCGACGAGAAAGGCUACUGCUGGCAACAAGGGUGCUGCUUCAUCUGCUAAACCCAAGACCAAGAGGGAAGAAUCAAUAAAGGCUGAUAAACCAAAGGCAGAUGAGGAGGAUGAUGACGAGGAAGAUGAUUCUGAAGAAGUAUCUAAUGAAGAUGAGGUUGUAAGCAGUUUUACAUUCUCCUUUCUUAUCAAUCAACAUCUGCCUUUGUCCAAUUCAUGUUCCUGAUUCCUUUAUUAUACUCGUGGGCCAUCAUUUGAGUAAUAUAAUCAAUGUCAAAUAUGUUCCCUUGGUUCUUUAGACACAUCAAGGAAGAGUUGGAACUUCUGAGCACUCAAGUUUAUAUUUUUGAGUUGGAAAAACCAAAAAAAUCAGUCAUUGAUUAUUAUGUUAUUCCUAGAUGGCCUUUCUACAAAAGUAAUUUCUUUACUGAUGGCAGCUUAAUGGCAUGUAUGUUUUUGAUUUAGGACAUGGCUGAAACUCUAUGUGACAGUGAUGAUGAAGAUGAAGAUGAGGAUUCAGAAGAGGCAGAUGAAGCUACACCCAAGAAGGUAAUUAGACUCGAUCCUUUUUUUUAACCAGUACUAGUUUGGUAAUGUUUCUGUGGAUAUUAUUCAAUUGGCAAUUCACUGUGUAGGCUGAAACUGGCAAGAGGAGACCAUGCUGAAAGUCUGUGCCAAAAACAUCUUGUUCAGAGAAGAAGGCCAAAAUUGAGAAAACAGGUUCGUGUUCCAGCUUAAUACUCCUCAAUCUUCAUGUCAAUACAUGGUCAUGUGAAAGCUCCUAUGGUUGCAUGCUCAUAGGUCUGCACUUGUUGUAAACUGGAGAAACAAGUUGGGUGCUUGGAACGGUUCAGAUAGACCUAGAGGUGUAUUUGGAAGAAAUGUACACUUUCGUCUCAAAUGUUGUAAAAGAACUAGGAUAUUUUAAAAGUUAGAAAUAUGUUGUCCAAAAUAAAAAUUUUGACUAGAAAUAAUGAUUAUAGGAGUGGUGAGAAUUGCGACAGUGGUUAAAGCACCUGCACCUGCACCGCAGCCAACACAUACUACCAUACUUUUUAAUCUAUGAUUGUUAAUUUAGUCGGGAAUGGUUGACAAGUACGUAACAUAUUUUUUUGAUAAUUUACAAUUUUUUUUUGUUCAUAUAAUAAUUGCAAUCAUUAUCUGGAGAAUCAUUCUAUGGAUCAAAAAAAUGUGGAUAGUUGUUUUUUUUUAAAUAAUUUUGGUAAUGCUGCUAUCAUGUCGUUGAAUUUUAUUUACAGGUGAGAAAGGUCAUACUUUAACUCCCCUCCCAGCUAAACAAGUUGGGAAAGCACCUGCAGAUGGCGACUAGCAGCAAGGACCUGUAUCCUGUGGAUCAGUGAGUUGCAAGCCAUGUUCCAAGUACAUAAACAUUACAUUUGUAUUUUUAAGGUUCACCUUCUCUGUUUUUCUCCAGAACUUUUGUCGCGAAAAUGCUUGUAGGCAAUGAUGGAAGAGGCAGUGGUAGGCAUGAAGUGGCAACCUCCUCCUCCUCCUCCUCG
rnacentral:lncRNA from 1 species